ACCAGCGGCGAUAGCAAUUUGAAAGCACCAGUUCCAAAUGGAUCAUUUAUGUUAAGCAACGGUGAGCGUGGUAGGUAUCCGGAUAGGUGACUUUUUGGACAACAGCGUGCUGGCUUUUC
rnacentral:rRNA from 1 species